CCUUGGGAGAUCUUUACCGAGACUCCAGAGGGAUCUAGAAUUCUAAGCAUACUUUGCAGGUAGCCAGGAUGGUCACUGUAAGAGAAUGGUUUUUCUCGUCAUUCCUGUCACAUAUUGAAUGAGUGAUCACAUUUCUACCUUAGAAAUGGAUUACUUCCCCUCUGGUGGGUUUGUUUGCUCAGGUUCCCUUUAACCAGAGGGUAUGCUUGACAUUUUCACUAUUUGUUGGAGCCUUCUUUAAGCAAAAGAAUAAAAAUUUAUGAUAUGAAUUGGGUACAAAAUUGUGCGUUUA
rnacentral:lncRNA from 1 species